CAUCGACCUCGGAUCAGGCGGGGAUACCCGCUGAACUUAA
rnacentral:rRNA from 1 species